AUUGAACGCUGGCGGCAGGCCUUACACAUGCAAGUCGAACGAGUGGCGUACGGGUGAGUAAUUUCUGGGAAACUGCCUGGUGGCGGGGGAUAACUACUGGAAACGGUAGCUAAUGCCGCAUACCAUUCGAUGUGUCCAUAUGGGAUUAGCUUGUUGGUGGGGUAACGGCUCACCAAGGCGACGAUCCCUAGCUGGUCUGAGAGGAUGACCAGCCACACUGGAACUGAGACACGGUCCAGACUCCUACGGGAGGCAGCAGUGGUGAAUAUUGCACAAUGGGCGCAAGCCUGAUGCAGCCAUGCCGCGUGUAUGAAGAAGGCCUUCGGGUUGUAAAGUACUUUCAGCGGGGAGGCGUUACCCGCAGAAGAAGCACCGGCUAACUCCGUGCCAGCAGCCGCGGUAAUUC
rnacentral:rRNA from 1 species